AUAGAUACUUCUUAACCUCUCACCUACUCAACGCGCAGAACUGCUGGAGCGUGACUGAUCGGAGCUCUUAUCUCACCAGCCUGCCUUCACAAUAGGCAACCUUGACAUCCUACAAGCAAUUUUUAAAUCUGUUUAGAGUCAAGAUUGGUUAUUGUUUCUUUUUAUUUGUAGGUUAUCCGUUUAAAAGAAAACAACUGUGAAUUUGCCGUGUACUCCAGCAAAGAAAGCUGUCGAUUCCCAAGGCUAGAAUUCUGAGAACUUCACUCCAGCUACCCCAUAACCGUGUUUCCAAUAAGAAACGGACACUUCCAAGCUUGAGAUAGAGCCAUUGUUAGAGGUACAGCCCAGCAGCACACACUGCUGGGGGGAUUUAAUCCCAUCCACCUCCUGAGGGAAUUGUUCCGUCCAUCCCAACAGCAUAUUAAGAAAUCUGCACCGUAUGCCCGUUUGCACCGCACCUGAAGGUGGUCAGUAUUAUACUCCCAUUUAUUAAGGAAUGUCUAAAGGCAGACCUUAAGACAGAAGCCACGCACAGAGCCUCAGCAUCUCCCUGUGCUGCAGAGAAGAGUUGGUGUCCAUUGCUGCCUAAAAGCAACAUCAAAAUGUUUUGCAAGGAAGUGUGAUAGAUCCUCUAUUAGAUAAACACCAAUACAAGCAAGCCAGAAAACCAGAAACGUGCAAACUGCAAAUAAAAAGCACUGUGUACAAGCUAUUUGUGUCUCUUUCCAGAAAAUGGGAAGAAACAAAUGGAUUCACAUUUUGCUUCGUUCCAACACAGCCAUCCCCCUACCCCCUACAAAUCAUCUGCCAGCCUCACUUAUCACAGGGUGCUUUAGCCUGCUGCUUGCUCCUAGCAGAGCUGGGAUGUCUGGGACUUGCACUGUAAAGUAUUAAUGUUGCUCUCAGAUAUUCUGAUUGGGCUGCAAAGGAAAGUAUGCCGGUGAAGGCUAACUGUGCUCUGCUCUGAAUUUAAAGACAGGAAUCACAUGCCUAGGGGGAUGCACAGGCAUAGGAGCUGCAGGCAGACCUUUGAGGUCUUCCACCAAACAUGCUGGGCACAUUUUUCCACUUGGCCUUGAAAGAGUCGAGCUUGUUCCAAGGCACCCAAGUGAAGCUAAGUUGUUGAUCUGCAUCCCAAGCAGACCUGCCUGACCAAGGCUGCGGAAGAAAAAUGGCUUUAUUAGAGCCCGUCAACACACAACCCUGACCCCAUGCAGAAGACACUGCUUCGUUGUCCGCGAUAAAGAACCUCUGUGCAACGACAGCUUCAACCCCAGCAGUGAGAUAAAUAGCAGAGCCUGGCUGGGUGCACAUUGCCACAAGGACCUGCAGGAUCCAUCCACAACGCAACCAGGAGCUACAUCUCAGAAUAACUGAGGCUGUGUAAGCUAGGAACAACAUUGAUAAGAGAAAACGUGUCCACAGAUCCCUGGAAAAUGCAGUUGUUCAGAGCCCUGCAGAGCACAAGCUGCCCUUCCCAGAACUGCUGCCCUUCUCUUCAUCUCCCUAAAUUCCCCUCCUGAGCAGCUUUCCUACAGUC
rnacentral:lncRNA from 1 species